rnacentral:rRNA from 1 species
UACGUAGGGUGCAGGCGUUAAUCGGAAUUACUGAGCGUAAAGCGUGCGCAGGCGGUCCGCAAAGUCUGAUGUGAAAGCCCCGGGCUCAACCUGGGAACUGCAUUGGAAACUAACGGGCUCGAGUGUGGCAGAGGGGGGUGGAAUUCCACGUGUAGCAGUGAAAUGCGUAGAGAUGUGGAGGAACACCGAUGGCGAAGGCAGCCCCCUGGGCUAACACUGACGCUCAGGCACGAAAGCGUGGGGAGCAAACAGG